UGAGACAGGUGCUGCAUGGCUGUCGUCAGCUCGUGUUGUGAAAUGUUGGGUUAAGUCCCGCAACGAGCGCAACCCUUAUCCUUUGUUGCCAGCGGUCCGGCCGGGAACUCAAAGGAGACUGCCAGUGAUAAACUGGAGGAAGGUGGGGAUGACGUCAAGUCAUCAUGGCCCUUACGACCAGGGCUACACACGUGCUACAAUGGCGCAUACAAAGAGAAGCGACCUCGCGAGAGCAAGCGGACCUCAUAAAGUGCGUCGUAGUCCGGAUUGGAGUCUGCAACUCGACUCCAUGAAGUCGGAAUCGCUAGUAAUCGUGGAUCAGAAUGCCACGGUGAAUACGUUCCCGGGCCUUGUACACACCGCCCGUCACACCAUGGGAGUGGGUUGCAAAAGAAGUAGGUAGCUUAACCUUCGGGAGGGCGCUUACCACUUUGUGAUUCAUGACUGGGGUGAAGUCGUAACAAGGUAACCGUAGGGGAACCUGCGGUUGGAUCACCUCCUU
rnacentral:rRNA from 1 species